rnacentral:lncRNA from 1 species
AUGGCAGAAAAGCCCAAAUCCACCCCGCGCCGCCCAGCGCCCCCGCAGCGGACGCUCCCCGGCUCCGCGCAGGGUCCGAGAGCGCCGGCCCCGGGGCCCCUCCAGACCCAGACGGACGGGGCAGAGGAGAUUCCGCUCACCUGGGUGGGAAAGAGCCUCGGGAGGUGCCCAGGAAGCCACGCUGCCCUGAUGGAGAGGCUCAUAGCGGACCGGCUUCCCGCACGCCUCCUCCGCCUCCAGCUCGAGUUUUCCUCUUUGGCGACAGGCAUCACAUGUCCAAGCAGGUGGACCCAGCUGCCUUCCACCCUGUCCAUCCAGGUCAUGGCCACAGCUGCACACCCUCCUCGUUCCCUGGUCGCAGGCAGUUUUGACCAGCCUGGCUCUUUGAAGCUUAUCAUGUAGGAGUCAGGACUUUCUGAGUUCAUACAUGUCCCCAAACCCCAGCUGAUCCCUGCCAACCUUCCCAGGUAGUUCUCCAGACCCCUUUCUUUGCAUGAAGUGACUGGUCUGCCCCCUCUCCCUCAGAGCACCCUAUAAUUCUUGCUACCAACCUUCUCUCUAAUCACUCUCUCCUCUACCUAAAUCUCAGUUGAAAACAGCAGAACUCUUACUCAGCAAAACCUACAAAGCUGGCCCAAGCCUCUCUUUUAAAUGUGGAGACUCCUCUCUCUGUGGUGGCCAUAGACAUGUGCUUCUCACAUUUUGAGAGUAACUGAUGACGUCACAUCUUCAGGCCCAUGGUGGUACUCACCCCUGGGUCACGCCUCACCCCGGAAGUUCCUCCAUGGUGGGAGCACUGGGGUUGCGCCGUUUCUGCCUCAUUUAAGACCCAUCUACGGGGCAGCCUUAGUUCCAAAAUUCCUCUUCAUCCUGCCAAGGCUUUCUCAGAACUGCCCCCUGUCUAUAAGUUUGCAACAUCUGGUUAUUUAUAUUCAAUCUGACAAUCUCCAUCUUUUCAUUUGUAAAUAUGCUUCAUUUAAUUACUAAAUAACUAGUGUGUAAUUAUAACCAUUAUUUUUAUAAAGAAAGCUGAGCACUGAAGAAUUGAUGCUUUUGAGCUGUGGUGUUGGAGAAGACUCUUGAGACUGCAAGGAGAUCCAACCAGUCCUUCCUAAAGGAAGUCAGUCCAGAAUAUUCAUUGGAAGGACUGAUGCUAAAGCUGAAACUCCAAUACUUGGGCCACCUGAUGCAAAGAACCGACUCAUUAGAAAAGACCCUGAUGCUGGAAAGGAUAGAAGGCAGGAGGAGAAGGGGGCGACAGGAGAAUGAGAUGGUUGGAUGACAUCACCAACUCAAUGGACAUGAGUUUGAGUAAACUCUGGGAGCUGGUGAUGGAUAGGGAGGCCUGGUGUGCUGCAGUCCAUGGGGUCACAAAGAGUCAGACAUGACUGAGCAACUGAACUGAAUUGAACUUCUGCUAUUUAAUUGUGAACCUUCUACUGGUCUUUUUUUUUUUAGUAUCUUUUCUGCUUCCCUUAGAUUGAUUAAGGGAAAUUUUCCAUUGUUUUAUAUUUCCUGUUAUAAGAAUUAGACAUUCUAUUUUUUUCUUCCAGUAAUUAUUCUUAAGCUUGUAAUAUGAAUAGGUAAAUGGAAAUUCUAAAUUUUUAUAUCUCUGUGCUUCUCUUGAACAAUAAAGGGCUUUUAAACUCUUCAAUUAUCAUUUCUCCAUCUUACAUGACAUCAUGCAACAUUUUAGUUGAAAUUUUUCCUUUGAAAAUUAGAAUUAUUAUCAUUAUUAUUAUUAUUUUACAGUCAGUGUUUGCUUAUUCUUCAUUCUUGACUCUCACAUCUUCUGGGAUAAGUUUCCUUUUUUCUGGAAUACAUCAUCAAAAAUUCUUUGUGGACACCUUUUGGUGAUAAAUACUCUUGCAGUUUGGCUCCCUAAAGAAGAAAAAGUAUAGUUGCUCAUUCAUGUCUGACUGUUUGCGGCCCCAUGGGCUAUAGCCCACCAGGUUCCUCUGUCAAUAGAAUUCUCUAGGCAAGAGUACUGGAGUGGAUUGCCAUUCCCUUCUCCAGGGGAUCUUCCAGACCCAGGAAACAAACCUGGGUCCCCUGCAUUCUUUACCAUCUGAGCCACAGGGAAGCCCUAAAUAUGUCUUUAUUUCAUUUCUACCUUCACAUGAUAGUUAACCCAUGUCCACAACUCUAGGUUAACAGUCACUUUCUCUUUGCAUUUCCAUUGCUCCUGCUGUGAAGUCAGCUGCCAAUUUUGUCGCUAUUCCUUUGGGAGCGACCCAUCACUUCUGUCUGCUUUUACUGUCUUCCCAUCAUCUUUGUUGUUUUUCAGUUAACUUCUUUAUGUCAAGGUGUGGAUUUCAUUUUAUUUCUCUCUUCUGUGAUUUAUUGUGCUUCCUGCAUCUAAUAAUUCUUAUCUUUUAUCAACUUUAGAAAAUUCUCCAACACCGUCUUCUAAUACUGAUUUUCCCCAUUCUAUCCAUCGGAAUUCCAAUCACAUGCACAUUAUAUUUUCUUAUUCUAUCCUGUGUGUCUCAGUCUGUUUUUCUUAUUUAAGACUUCUUACUCUCUUUGGUCCAGUCUCUCUGUCUCUCUUCUGCUCCCUCUCUCUCUUUCCCCCUGCCUCCUCUGUCAGCUCUUUUAGGCGGCCCCAGGGUACUGGUCUCGGUCUCCCGCAGCCAGCCGGAGCUCUGAGCGCCCAGCCAGGCCCGGCUCCGGCGGCGGCCGCGGCUGCUUCCUGCUCACCUCCGCGGGGGCGUCCUCGGCAGCAGUGCCUGGAGCGUUCUGCGGGUCCAGGCAGGCAGCAUGUCGACGCUUCUGGCAAUGUCCCUGCCUCUAAGCCAGAAGCCAUGGAAGAGAUAAGGUAGCUCCCGUCCCUGGAUUUAAAAAUAAUAAUAAUAAAAUAAAGCAGAAAUAGAUGUUUUUCUGGAACUCUCUUGCUUUUUCGAUGAUCCAGUGGAUGUUGGCAAUUUGGUCUCUGGUUCCUCUGCCUUUUCUAAAACCAGCUUGAACAACUGGAAGUUCACGGUUCACGUAUUGCUGAAGCCUGGCUUGGAGAAUUUUGAGCAUUACUUUACUAGCGUGUGAGAUGAGUACACUUGUGCAGUAGUUUGAGCAUUCUUUGGCAUUGCCUUUCUUUGGGAUUGGAAUAAAAACUGACCUUUUCCAGUCCUGUGGCCACUGCUAAGUUUUCCAAAUUUGCUGGCAUAUUGAGUGCAGCACUUUCACAGCAUCAUCUUUCAGGAUUUGAAAUAGCGAAUCAAGGUGAAGUGCUCUCUAAUUCUACAGAAGAGAAACUGGUCUAAGCCUCCUGGGCUUGGUUGCUGCAGCAGCGGCUG